rnacentral:rRNA from 1 species
AUUGAACGCUGGCGGCAUGCCUUACACAUGCAAGUCGAACGGCAGCACGGGUGCUUGCACCUGGUGGCGAGUGGCGAACGGGUGAGUAAUACAUCGGAACGUACCUUAUCGUGGGGGAUAACGCAGCGAAAGUUACGCUAAUACCGCAUACGCCCUGAGGGGGAAAGCGGGGGACCGUAAGGCCUCGCGCGAUUAGAGCGGCCGAUGUCUGAUUAGCUUGUUGGUGAGGUAAAAGCUCACCAAGGCGAUGAUCAGUAGCUGGUCUGAGAGGACGAUCAGCCACACUGGGACUGAGACACGGCCCAGACUCCUACGGGAGGCAGCAGUGGGGAAUUUUGGACAAUGGGGGCAACCCUGAUCCAGCAAUGCCGCGUGGGUGAAGAAGGCCUUCGGGUUGUAAAGCUCUUUUGUCAGGGAAGAAACAGCAGCUCUAACACAGUCUGCGAAUGACGGUACCUGAAGAAUAGGCACCGGCUAACUACGUGCCAGCAGCCGCGGUAA